UUAGAGAAAGACACGUAAUGCAAUUAUUGUUCACUACUCUGAUUUGAACAGAGAUGGAGUCAAGCCAAAAGACCCCAAACGCGUCCGAGUGUACGUGUGAGAUAAGAAAAGGAAAGGAUUAGAAAACCAUACUUGAAUGAAGUAAACAAGUAACUAAAAUAAUACGGUAUGAUACCCAAGCCAUUCAUUUAAGUAAAGAUUCCAUUGAUUUUCAUAAUCAACUAACAAAAGAUAAUCACCUUGAUACGCACAAAAGAAUGUUCAAAUGACAAUGGGAACAUGCUGAAUUCAUGCUCAUAUUUACCAAUCUUUUACAAUGACUAAAGAUGUCUAUUAACUUCCUAACACAAAAUUCCAAGAAUUGAGUGUUCACAAAUUCAUCUAAAGUCCUUGUCAAAUUUGACACUUUAAUUAAAUAUGACUUAGGAUCUCAAACAAAAAUUGGCCAGUAGAGUCUUGGAUUUUAUUUUUUAGUUGGCGACAUGAGUAUAACAGAUCCUAAAUACAGAUGAUUAAUAAAAGUUUAUGAAGAUAAAAUUCUUAAAACUUGGAGCAUAGAUUUUAAAAUCAACCAAACAAAAAAGUUAGAAGUCAAGCUGAAUGAUGGAUGAACACAAAGUAAUAACUUAAUCGCAUGUGUCUGUAACCCGUAAGGGAAACACCAUGGACUGCGAAGGGACAUGAGUGAAAUGACUAAUUUUAAGGUUUCUUAGUGAGUAAAAACUAGAUUACAAGUUCCAGGCAAGAAAGCAAAACACCUGUGAUCACCGACUUGCAGAAAUUGAUUUUUAGGAAAAUAAUAAUGACACUUGAACAUUCAAAAGAGAAUUUACACACUCCCUGAGAAAACCUCAAACACGAUGUAUCAUCCUAUUAGUUAUAAUUAAAAACUGCUGAGACACUUCUCUUGUGCAAAUUCCAAAAUCAAGGCUCAGACAAUCUUGCAGAAGUUCAGACUUCCAGCUUGUUUUCCUUUACUCUAGAUCUUAAACUACUGCCAUUAUUUAAGCUAAUUACUUAUACUGAAUGAAAACAAGCUGGUACAUGCUUAGCCAAAGAAAAAGAUAUUCAGUCUAGUUAAAAAUAUCUUCACACUGAGUUGUCGAACCUCUCUAAUCAUUCUAAUACCCAAAUUAACAAAAAAAAAAAAAAGACAAAGAAUUUCAAUAUACAGUGAAAUAUUUUCUAAACUUAAGGCUUGUAUGACCCAUUUUCAUGCUAAAUUGCAUGUUUGAAAAAUCACUUUUAAGUAAACGGCCAUCUUUAAAAAAAUGGCAACAGGUGUCAUAUUCAAAUGUUCAAGCAAAAGAAGGCACAAAAUCCCACUACGAACAGCCAAGCAUUUGCAAAGUUUUGACCCCCUUUUAAAAAAUGGAUAGAUUUUAAUUUCAGCGUCGUCUUAAUCGAGUUCAAAGUAACAGGAAAAUGCAAAGCUCAUGGCCACCCAAAAUGAUUCUGUACAUAGCUAAUAGCACAUAAGAAAAAUUUCCAUCCAAACUUUAAAACGUAAGCUUAUAUGAAAAUGUGUCAAUCACGUUAUGUUAUUCAAAUUCUUUUAUGAAACAAAAGAGCAAUUUUGGGCACCAGAUGAUAUAGUCUCAUUGGCCGGUGAUUACUUCAAAUGGAGCUAUUCCUAUUACCCACCGAACUGAAGGAAUAGAAGGGCUAUUAGCUACUGAAUUCUCACACUCCUUCCUUCAUAAGGUUAAAUUGACCUCUUGGAGAGUUUGACAACUCACUUCCACAAAAGAAAAGUUGAAAAGAUAUGAAUGAAAAGUGAUGAUGGUGAUGGAGAGACAGAGAUAAAAGAAGAGAAGAGAGGUGGUGACCACCAGAAUUUGCCAUUAUUCGGUGGUCUAAUCGUUGGUCGGCAGUCAAAGGAGGGUAGCCAUGGAUAGACGGUAAAUUUAGUUGUGUUGGAACGAUGGAAAAAGGGGGAAAAGGUAUCAGGUUAGAUAUUAGUUAUUGGGUCGGGUCAAGGGAUGAUUGGGCCUAAAUUUGGCUGGAACUGAGGUGGGCUAAAAUUGGAUUAGUGGGUUGUAAAUUUCAAGCACUGAGUGUUCACAAAUUCAUCUAAAGUCCUUGUCAAAUUUGACACUUUAAUUAAGAGAAAAUUAUCCCCUAUAGUAUUAGAUCUAAAAUAAUAAAUUUUAGCAAUACUUUUAGAUAAUUGCAUUAAUAGUAAUUUAGUUACAAAUUAUAGCAACUUAUUAAAAGAUAUAUUAUUUUAAUUGUAAUUAAAAUAUGUAUUAUUUUAAUUGUAUUUUCAAAAUUUAUUUUUAAUUAUAUAAUUUAAAAUCAAUUUCAUAUUUAUAGGGUUGUAAUCAAUAUUCCCCUUAAAUUGUGUAUUGAUAAUUAUGGUAAAUAUAUAUUCUAUCUCUCUAUUCUAAUACUCAACCUUUCAAAAAUUUAUUGAAAAUCUGAUUCCAUUAACUUACUCAUAGAAUAUUCAUAUUCUUCCCUUGAAAAUACAAGAUUGAAAAAAAGUGGGUUUCAUAUAAUAUUCAUCUUUUUCAUUGAAAAAAGUGGGUUUAAGAUAAUAUUCAUCUUCUUUUCGAAAAACAUAAAAUUGAUAUAUUUAUUUUUUUCAUUCUCCAUUGUGAAUCAUGUCUAAACCAAAAUUCGAUUCUACUCCUUCGCGUAGAAGUCCUAGAAUAUUCAACCAACGAUUUGUUCCAUUGUGAAUCAUUAUUCAACCAACGAUUGUUCUCCUUCAUAAGAAAUUCUCUUUCUUCUAUUUUUCUUUUGUUCUUUAAAAAUAAUAUGAUAUAAGGAGUAUUGUCAAUUUCUUUAUUAAAUACUCAUUGUAUAUAACAAUAAAAGAUAUGUCAAUGGAUAUUAGAGAAAAAUAUUGAACGAUCAGUUUGUGUUGGUAACAAUAUAAAUAAGGAUUUAAAUAUAGAUUGUAACUUUCGUAAGAAUAAUAUAGUGGAAAUUAUCUUUUAUAUAUAUACUUAUUAAACUGUUUUGUUUAUCAAUUUUGUAUAAAAUCAGUAUGAAAUAAGUAUAAUGAUUGCAGAAAUUGGUAUAAAAAUUGACUUUCACUAAAUAUUAUUUGUUAUUAUUUAUUUUAGUGUAUGAAAUAAAUAUACAAACUUGUAUUUUUUGAAUUAUUUCAUGUAUGAAACCAGUAUAAUAUCAAUAUUACAUUCAAGAUUUAUAAAAUAGUUUCUUACAUGUUAUAUUUAUAUGGAAUGAGUAUAAUGUGAUUGUGAUAUUAAAUUAAGAAGAUAUACUUAAGAUUAUAAAUUGAAUGAAAUCAGUUAUAAAGUGUUUUCUUAUAUGUCACAUUUGUAUGACAUAGAUAUAUAAAUUGAUAUUUAUGGAUUGUGAUAUUAAAUUUAGGUGAUACCAAUUUAUAUACUCAUUUCAUACACUAUGUGCUUCUCUCUUUGAAUCAAGAUUCUAUCUCAUCUACUUUUGUAUUAAAUUAAGAUUUAAUGAAUACUGUCAUCUUUCAUACUGAAAAAAAUAAUCACAAUUUGUAAAGAAAAACUGCAGUAAAUCUGGUUGACACAAACUUAAUUGAUAUCCAAUUCAUUCAACGAAGUGAAAUACAAAACAACUGUUAAAUUAGUAUAACACCAAAUAAAAAACUACUUAAAUACAAUAACUAAACUUUGUUCAUACCAACAAUCAUAGAAAGACAACAUUAAUGAGCACAAAAAGAUAUUAAAAUACAAUAUUCAUAUCUAUGUAUGCAACUUUUACUAUGAUUCAAUCACAAGCAAAUUGAGGAGAUGAGGGUUAAAGUCUUAUUAAUCAAGUAGCGCUCCCCUCGACACAUAUUGAUCAAAUGGAGACAUAUUAAUCGUGCUUGUUCAUUAAAGCAUUUGUGAGUGGAACAACUAAAUGGUGUAUAAAAAGAAGGUAGUGUAUGAAGAUGGAAACUCUUAAUGGAAGCAUUAAAAUAGAAGAAAAGAAAAACGGUUAUAGGGAUUUGGGGUGGAUUGAUAUCAAUAAUAUUUAAUGAUAACUAUAUUUAAGGAAGGAUUAUUGCAUAUUAGUUGUAUUAAAUCUUUAUUUUCCUUUUCAGUAAUUAUUUUUAUGUAAUUUUAAAAAAAUAUAUUUUAUUUUUAUUUUUUUAUAAGAUUUGCUACAACUUGAAAAAAUGAACGUUAUGCUAUAAGUUGUAAUUUCCUAUCUAAUAAUUGCUAUAUACGAUUUUUUUCCAUUAAGAGAAAAUUUGACUUAGGAUCUCAAACAAAAAUUGGCCAGUAGAGUCUUGGAUUUUAUUUUUUAGUUGGAGACAUGAGUUUAGCAGAUCCUAAAUACAGAUAAUUAAUAAAAAUUUAUGAAGAUAAAUUUUUUACAACUUGGAGCAUAGAUUUUAAAACCAACCAAACAAAAAAGUUAGAAGUCAAGUUGUAUGAUGGAUGAACACAAAGUAAUAACUUAAUCGCAUGUGUCUGUAAUCCGUAAGUGAAACACCAUGGACUGCGAAGGGACAUGAGUGAAAUGACUAAUUUUAA
rnacentral:lncRNA from 1 species